rnacentral:rRNA from 1 species
UACAGAUGGACGUCGAGCGGCAUGAGAGGAGAUUGAUCCUUGAUUUGGGGGGGGAGGGGGGAUUAAUGCCUAUGAAUCGGCCUGGUGGUGGGGGAUAACGUUGAGAAAGGGACUGUAAUACGGCAUACGUGCUAAGUGAGAAAGCGGGGGAUGUUGAGACCUCGGGCCCUUAAAUGACGCUAGGUUGGAUUAUGUAUAUGAUAGAUGUAAAGGUUCAGGCGGGCGACGAUCUCCAUCUGGUCUGAGAGGAUGAUCAUUCACACUGGAACUGAAACACAGUCCCGACUCCUACUGGAGGCAGCCGUGGGGAAUAUUGGACAAUGGGCGAAAGCCCGAUCCUGCCCUGUCGCGUGUGUGAGGAAGGUCUUCGGAUUGUAAAGCACUUUAAGUUGGGAGGAAGGGUAUUCACCUAAUACGUGAGUAUUUUGACGUUACCGACAGAAUAAGCACCGGCUGACUUGGUGCCAGCAGCCGCGUAAAUACGAAGGGGGCAGGCGUUAAUCGGAAUUACUGGGACGUAAAGCGCGCGUAGGUGGUUCGUUAAGGUUGGAUGUGAAAGCCCCGGGCUCAACCUGGGAACUGCAUUUCAAACUGGUGAGCUAGAGUACGGUAGAGGGUAGGUGGAAUUUCCUGUGUAGCGGUGAAAUGCGUAGAUAUGAGGAAGGAACAUCAGUGGCGAAGGCGACCACCUGGACUGAUACUGACACUGAGGUGCGAAAGCGUGGGGAGCAAACAGGAUUAGAUACCCUGGUAGUGCCACGCCCUAACGAUGUCAACUAGCCGUUGGAAUCUUUGAGAUCUUAGUGGCGCAGCUAACGCAUUAAGUUGACCGUCUGGGGUAGUACGCCGCAGGGUUAAAACUUCAAAUGAAAUGGCCGGGGUCCCGCCACAAGCGGUGGAGCAUGUAGGUUUAAUUCGAUAGCAACGCAAAGAACCUUACAUGCCCUUGACAUCCUGAGAACUUUCCAGAGAUGGAUUGGUGUCUUGGGAACUCAGCCACAGGUGCUGCAUGGCGGUGAUUCAUCUCUGUUGCGAGAAGUUCGGGUUAAGUCCGGUAACGAGCGCAACCCUGGUCCUUAUUUACCACCCAUUUUGGAUGGGCCCUGUAAGGAGACUCCCCGUGACAAACCGGAUGAAGGUGGAGAGGAGUUCAACUCAUCAUGGCCCCAAGGGCCAGGACUUCCCACCCCUUCCAAUGGUAGGUACAAAGGGUUCCCAAGCCGCAAGGUUGAGUUAAUUCCAUAACACCGAUCCUAGUCCGUACGGCAUUAUCAAAUUGAAUCCCGGCAACUUCAACUACUUACUAACCCCCAUUCACAUUGUCACUGUGAAUACGUUCCCGGGCAUUGUACACACCGCCCGUCACACCAUGGGAGUGGGUUGCUCCAGAAGUAGCUAGUCUAACCUUCGGGAGGACGCUUUCCACGGAGUGCCCCAUUACUGGGGGAAGUCGA